GACGAACGCUGGCGGCGUGCUUAACACAUGCAAGUCGAACGGAAAGGCCCUGCUUUUGUGGGGUGCUCGAGUGGCGAACGGGUGAGUAACACGUGAGUAACCUGCCCUUGACUUUGGGAUAACUUCAGGAAACUGGGGCUAAUACCGGAUAGGAGCUCCUGCUGCAUGGGGGGGGUUGGAAAGUGUAGGCGGUUGGGGAUGGACGCGCGGCUUAUCAGCUUGUUGGUGGGGUAGUGGCUUACCACGGCUUUGACGGGUAGCCGGCGUGAGAGGGUGACCGGCCACAUUGGGACUGAGAUACGGCCCAGACUCCUACGGGAGGCAGCAGGGGGGAAUAUUGCACAAUGGGCGGAAGCCUGAUGCAGCAACGCCGCGUGCGGGAUGACGGCCUUCGGGUUGUAAACCGCUUUCGCCUGUGACGAAGCGUGAGUGACGGUAAUGGGUAAAGAAGCACCGGCUAACUACGUG
rnacentral:rRNA from 1 species